GACAGCUUGACGGAGUGGUUAACGUGAUUGACUAGAAAUCAAUUCCUCUCUGAGGGCGCAGGUUCGAAUCCUGCAGCUGUCG